GGUCCGUUGGUCAAGGGGUUAAGACACCGCCUUUUCACGGCGGUAACACGGGUUCGAAUCCCGUAUGGACUA
rnacentral:tRNA from 2 species